rnacentral:ncRNA from 1 species
GCGUACACGGUGGAUGCCCUGGCAGUCAGAGGCGAUGAAGGACGUGCUAAUCUGCGAAAAGCGCCGGCGAGGUGAUAUGAACCUUUGACCCGGCGAUGUCCGAAUGGGGAAACCCAGUGUGUUUCGACACACUAUCGUUAACUGAAUACAUAGGUUAACGAGGCGAACCGGGGGAACUGAAACAUCUAAGUACCCCGAGGAAAAGAAAUCAACCGAGAUUCCCCCAGUAGCGGCGAGCGAACGGGGAGCAGCCCGGAGUCUGAAUCAGCUUGUGUGUUAGUGGAACGGUCUGGAAAGUCCGACGGUACAGGGUGAUAGUCCCGUACACGAAAAUGCACAGGCUGUGAACUCGAAGAGUAGGGCGGGACACGUGGUAUCCUGUCUGAAUAUGGGGGGACCAUCCUCCAAGGCUAAAUACUCCUGACUGACCGAUAGUGAACCAGUACCGUGAGGGAAAGGCGAAAAGAACCCCGGCGAGGGGAGUGAAAAAGAACCUGAAACCGUGUACGU